rnacentral:rRNA from 1 species
AGUGAACGCUGGCGGUAGGCCUAACACAUGCCAGUCGAACGGCAGCACAGUAAGAGCUUGCUCUUACGGGUGGCGAGUGGCGGACGGGUGAGGAAUACAUCGGAAUCUACUUUUUCGUGGGGGAUAACGUAGGGAAACUUACGCUAAUACCGCAUACGACCUACGGGUGAAAGCAGGGGAUCUUCGGACCUUGCGCGAUUGAAUGAGCCGAUGUCGGAUUAGCUAGUUGGCGGGGUAAAGGCCCACCAAGGCGACGAUCCGUAGCUGGUCUGAGAGGAUGAUCAGCCACACUGGAACUGAGACACGGUCCAGACUCCUACGGGAGGCAGCAGUGGGGAAUAUUGGACAAUGGGCGCAAGCCUGAUCCAGCCAUACCGCGUGGGUGAAGAAGGCCUUCGGGUUGUAAAGCCCUUUUGUUGGGAAAGAAAAGCAGCAGGCUAAUACCCCGCUGUCCUGACGGUACCCAAAGAAUAAGCACCGGCUAACUUCGUG